AACAGUUUCAGUCAGGCCUUUAGAGCCCUGCACCUGCAGCCAGUGAAAGAUCCCACGCAGAGAGACCCUUACUCAAGUCUUGGGAAAUCGCGGACCCCAGACACAGAGAGACCA
rnacentral:pre_miRNA from 14 species